CUCUAAAAAUGGCUGGGUUAUUUUUUAACCCAAAAUGCUGGGUUGAGUCUGUUGGGUUGUUUUGCUGGGUUAUUUUUUUACAUUUUAAACACUUUUUGGGUAGUUUCAGUUUUCUAGGUGUUGGGUUAAAACUGCUGGGUUAUUAUGUUGGGUUGUUUGAAGAGGCUCAUGUGCUUCGCGCCCUUGAUGUUUGAAUGUGCUCAGCAAUGGUCGUCGUGAAAGGACAGAGUCACUGAAGCAGUUGUUUCAAGAGUGUGCAGAGUUUUUAAGUCCAUCCAUUGAUGAGGCUAGCAAGACCUUCAUACAACUUCAGCCAAUUGCAACAAAUGUGGUGGAAUUUCUUCUCUGGACAGAAUCCUCGAAACCUUUCCUUUCGUCCUGGCCAUGGGAAACAUGCAGCAGAUCUCUCAAUCUUUUUUCUCAAUCAGUCUCUCUGAAUACGGAAGUGACUUAAACUGCAAUUCGGCCAAGAUGGCGACGGCACGCACCGCCUACUUUAAGCUUCAAAAAUGCUCUUCACAAACCAAUAGGUGACGUCACGGACACUACUUGCAUAUUUUUUACAGUCUCUGGUUUAAAGGCAUUUUAAGUGCUUAAAAAAAUAAAUACCCCAGGCAAUGUGCUUCUAUGGGAAUUCCUGUAGUCUGUCAUUUUUCAAAUGGAUGAAUCCCCUGCUGUUCGAUUCCUUUGUACAUCUUUGUUCGCGACGAGUAACUUUAAUAAAUGAAGUAUUUUUAGUCAAAUACAUUCCAUUCUGUGAAACUUAAAACAUUUGUUCUUUAAAAAAACUUUACACAUCUAUGAAUGAUUUUACUUUUAAUUUAACAAUUACAUUGUUUCUUUUUUACACUUCUGUAGUUUUGUUUAUGU